AGCUGCGUUACACAGCGAUGUCCCACCACACCUGCUUCUCACCCGUUUUCAUCCCCUGAUAGCAAGCGUGACUGUCCAGUGGAGAGGGACGGCUCCUAGGCCAUGUGAACAGAAAGCUGUUCACAACUCUGCUUACAGAAGGAGCUCUCUGACCUUUAGAAGAGGCUGGAGAAUCUUCCAGGGGAGAGAGGUUUGAGAAGCUCCAGCUAGAGGAGCAUUUAAGUUUUCCAGUCCCUACCAAGUGGACUGAGGACAACAGCUUUCAGGGAAACAUCCAGGAUUUCUGGAUCCUUCCAUGGAUCUUUAAAUUACAUAUGGGGAGACGUUUGUGUUUGACCAGAG